rnacentral:rRNA from 1 species
GCUAAACGCGAAGAACCUUACCUGGUCUUGACAUCCACGGAAUCCCGAAGAGAUUUGGGAGUGCCGCAAGGAACCGUGAGACAGGUGCUGCAUGGCUGUCGUCAGCUCGUGUCGCGAGAUGUUGGGUUAAGUCCCGCAACGAGCGCAACCCUUGCCUUUAGUUGCCAGCGAGUCAUGUCGGGCACUCUAAGGAGACUGCCUCGGAUAACGAGGAGGAAGGUGGGGAUGACGUCAAGUCAGCAUGGCCUUUAUGUCCAGGGCUACACACGUGCUACAAUGGGCGGCACAGAAGGACGCGAGACCGCGAGGUCAAGCCAACCCUUAAAACCGUUCUCAGUUCGGAUUGCAGGCUGCAAUUCGCCUGCAUGAAGUCGGAAUCGCUAGUAAUCGCGGAUCAGCUACGCCGCGGUGAAUACGUUCUCGGGUCUUGUACACACCG